GAUGAACGCUGGCGGCGUGCCUAAUACAUGCAAGUCGAACGCUUUGUGGUUCAACUGAUUUGAAGAGCUUGCUCAGAUAUGACGAUGGACAUUGCAAAGAGUGGCGAACGGGUGAGUAACACGUGGGAAACCUACCUCUUAGCAGGGGAUAACAUUUGGAAACAGAUGCUAAUACCGUAUAACAAUAGCAACCGCAUGGUUGCUACUUAAAAGAUGGUUCUGCUAUCACUAAGAGAUGGUCCCGCGGUGCAUUAGUUAGUUGGUGAGGUAAUGGCUCACCAAGACGAUGAUGCAUAGCCGAGUUGAGAGACUGAUCGGCCACAAUGGGACUGAGACACGGCCCAUACUCCUACGGGAGGCAGCAGUAGGGAAUCUUCCACAAUGGGCGAAAGCCUGAUGGAGCAACGCCGCGUGUGUGAUGAAGGGUUUCGGCUCGUAAAACACUGUUGUAAGAGAAGAAUGACAUUGAGAGUAACUGUUCAAUGUGUGACGGUAUCUUACCAGAAAGGAACGGCUAAAUACGUGCCAGCAGCCGCGGUAAUACGUAUGUUCCAAGCGUUAUCCGGAUUUAUUGGGCGUAAAGCGAGCGCAGACGGUUAUUUAGUCUGAAGUGAAAAGCCCUCACUCAACUGACGAAUUGCUUUGGAAACUGGAUGACUUGAGUGCAGUAGAGGAAAGUGGAACUCCCUGUGUAGCGGUGAAAUGCGAAGAUAUUUGGAAAAAACACCAAUGGGCGAAGCGGGUUUCUGGACUGUAACUGACGUUGAGGCUCGAAAGUGUGGGUAGCAAACAGGAUUAGAUACCCUGGUAGUCCACACCGUAAACGAUGAGUGCUAGGUGUUUGAGGGUUUCCGCCCUUAAGUGCCGCAGCUAACGCAUUAAGCACUCCGCCUGGGGAGUACGACCGCAAGGUUGAAACUCAAAGGAAUUGACGGGGACCCGCACAAGCGGUGGAGCAUGUGGUUUAAUUCGAAGCAACGCGAAGAACCUUACCAGGUCUUGACAUCCCUUGACAACUCCAGAGAUGGAGCGUUCCCUUCGGGGACAAGGUGACAGGUGGUGCAUGGUUGUCCGCAACCCUUAUUUUUAGUUACCACCAUUCAGUUGGGCACUCUAGUGAGACUGCCGGUGACAAACCGGAGGAAGGUGGGGAUGACGUCAAAUCAUCAUGCCCCUUAUGACCUGGGCUACACACGUGCUACAAUGGCGUAUACAACGAGUUGCCAACCCGCGAGGGUGAGCUAAUCUCUUAAAGUACGUCUCAGUUCGGAUUGUAGGCUGCAACUCGCCUACAUGAAGUCGGAAUCGCUAGUAAUCGCGGAUCAGCACGCCGCGGUGAAUACGUUCCCGGGUCUUGUACACACCGCCCGUCACACCAUGAGAGUUUGUAACA
rnacentral:rRNA from 1 species